CAGCAGCCGCGGUAAAACGAAGGGGGCUAGCGUUGCUCGGAAUGACUGGGCGUAAAGGGCGCGUAGGCGGUUUGCCAAGUUAGAUGUGAAAUUCCCGGACUUAACCUGGGGACUGCAUUUGAUACUGGCAGGCUUGAGUGUGGAAGAGGGUCGUGGAAUUCCCAGUGUAGAGGUGAAAUUCGUAGAUAUUGGGAAGAACACCGGUGGCGAAGGCGGCGACCUGGUCCAUAACUGACGCUGAGGCGCGAAAGCGUGGGGAGCAAACAGGAUUAGAUACCCCCGUAGUCCCUGUCUCUUAUAC
rnacentral:rRNA from 1 species